AGGGGCGUAGCUCAGGGGUAUAUCAUCUGCCUUGCAUGCAGAAAGUCCCAGUUUCAAUUCUUGGCAUCUCUG